rnacentral:rRNA from 1 species
UACGUAGGGUGCAGGCGUUAUUCGGAUUUACUGGGCUUAAAGAGUUCGUAGGCGGCGCAGAAAGUAGGGUGUGAAAGCCCUCGGCUCAACCGAGGAAUUGCGCUCUAAACUACUGUGCUUGAGGAAGCUAGAGGUGAGCGGAACUGAUGGUGGAGCGGUGAAAUGCGUUGAUAUCAUCAGGAACACCGGAGGCGAAGGCGGCUCACUGGGGCUUUUCUGACGCUGAGGAACGAAAGCCAGGGGAGCGAACGGG